GCUGAGGGGUAGAGGGGGGAGAUGCGAAGAUUGAAAGGGAUCUUUGCAAACACAAUCACGUUCUUAAAUGGAAAUGUGGGGCUUUAAACAAAUCUUACAUCUCUCCUGUUUCAGUCGUCUAAACUCCGCAAUCAGGCACACACUCCUUCUAAAACCGCAGCUGUUUAGAAGAUCUUUUGGGUGUUUCCACGGGCUUUGGAGGAGAAAUACGCCGAAAUAUUUAGGAAAAGUCGACAUUAGACCAGAAUGUUUCGCCAUGGGCAGUGUGGAGAUGUGUGUGUGUGUCUAGGGAGUGUUGGCUAGGCCAGUGAGCCGCGGUGCUGUUGACAGUGGUAAAUGAUGCCGUAGCAAGGCUCUCUGCUAAUCACACAGUCCACCCGACAACUCGUGUGAGCAAGCGAGCUUGGCUGGAAAAGAAACUUCGACCUACUUACCAGCUACUUCUGAAUUAGGAAAAUUCCAAAGUGAUCCAUUAGGAGUUUGUUUUACUGCAUCCAUUACUAAAAGGCUGGAUGUGUGUGAGGUGUGAGAAAGAGUGAGGCCCAGGUGUGCUGCCUAAAGCAAGAACAUACACUCCCAGGUAGGUCUCCAGGGACUCAUCACCGAGACGAUCAAUUUCCAUCACACAAACGCACAAACGCAUGUGUGUACUCUUGUGCACAUGCACGGUUUUCUACUUCUUUCACUUGUGUUCCAUUUGACUAGUCUAUUCUUUUUUGAGCACAAACUGUUAAUAGAGUGAAAAGUUUUGCGAUUUGUGUUACAUUUUGGAAAAAUGGAAAUGUUUAGUGCUAAAAUGUUACAUGAGAAAUAUUAAAUGUUGAAAGUACAUUAGUUAUCAGGUGGCAUGAGCUACACAUGGCAAUGAGUGUGGGACCCACGAGGUAAUAAUAAUAAUAAUAAUAAUAAUAAUAAUGAUGAUUUGAGAUAAAAUAUGUGACAAAACAAUCUUUCAUGUUUAUGGAUUGUAUUACCUUAAGCAAGACAGUAUCAGAAGUUCAUAGAUAAUAAAAUGGACCCAAGACCUACAAUAAGAUUAAAAUGUACUGCACAAUGUCUUACUGAUAGUCAUUUCAAAUAUUUAACAUCCCAGUACAUGUGAAAAGCACCUGCACAGUACCUAUAUAAGACAGGUUUAUUAUAUUUUUCAAAUUAGACACUCAACAGGAAAGAUCAUUUUUUCAAUGGUUGCAUUUGGUUGCUUAACACAACAAUCACUGAAUUUAAAAAAUGAUUGCAGGCUUGGGAGUAGUUAUUUGCAGCGGUUUAGUAAUAUGUGUGUUAUGUUUGAAGUAUAAUGCUAAUGUAUGUUUUAAAUAAUAUGUGAUUCGGCAUCAAUGUUACAGUUUAGUACUGUCUGUUAAAUAUUCGAAGGAUGUGAAAAUAAAGGAAUUAAUUCAGUUAAGCAAGAAAAGUCCCCUGCAAUGUCAACCAUUUAAGAUAAGAUUAAUUUUUAGUGUUGUGCCAACUCAACCUUAAGAAAGACUUAAUCAAGACCAAGACCUUAGCCAAUAAAGUCAGAGUUCAUACUAAGACUAACAGGAUUGUGGGUCAGAUUUUAUAUGGUCACAGUUCUAUGUUCCAGACCAGGUAAAAAUGUACCUGAAUGUAUGAUGACUGAGACAUGUGGUCUUGAGUCCCAUCUUUAGUACUGCAACACUGUUAUUUUCUUUAUUGAUAUUUGCAGAUUUCUGAAUAGUUUGACCUGGUGGUAACUAGAAAUAUCAUCUUUAUAGUGUGUGUAGAUACUGGGGUGCAGACGUUGGUUGCUUAAUAAUAUUGUAACCCAAAUAAACUAAUAUGAAAUAACUGCAAACCAAAGCACACACUAGCUCAUGCCCUGUUCUUGCCUAUAUUUUAUGCAGUGUUAA